UGUAAUCUUGCCCCCUAGACUAAAAUCCUGGCUCCACACUCGUCCAUCUGGAAUAAGAGAGGAAGAUGAUGUUGAAAUACACAUCUUCGAAGAAGAAGAAGAAGGGGACUCAUCUCAAAACUGCCAUCCAUUGGAAGUUCCACCUCUGGCCAGGAACACCAGUGACAUUUCAGCAGUCCCAACGGGUGAUUCAUUUUGUGUGGGAUAUAAAUCCUAUCCUUUCUUCAAAUUCAAAAGUUCCGCUUACGUGUAAAAUUUCUAUAGAUGGUUUGGAUUCUUUCAAUGACCUUGGUGAUGUUACCUGAUAUAAUCAAACUCUACCGAUAUUCUUGUUUCAAAAUUGGCUAUAACAGUGGCUGAUGGAGAUAAGUCUUUGGUGUAUAUUCAACUACUUCAAAAAUUUCCCAUGAUAACCACGACAUAACAGCAGAUUCUGUAAGCAUGUCAGGCACAAAAGCAUGUAAAAUACCUUGUCCAGCUUCAUUCUAUAAAAUUAACGAAGAUAGCUUUAGAAACUGA